AAUGAACGCUGGCGGCGCGCCUAAUACAUGCAAGUCGAGCGAGAAGACGUAGCAAUACGUUUGUAAAGCGGCGAACGGGUGAGGAAUACAUGGGUAACCUACCCUAGAGUGGGGAAUAACUAGCCGAAAGGUUAGCUAAUACCGCGUACGCUCCUUGGACUUCGGUUCAGGGAGGAAAGCGAUGCCGAGGGUAUCGCGCUCUUGGAUGGGCUCAUGUCCUAUCAGCUUGUUGGGAGGUACGGCUCACCAAGGCUUCGACGGGUAGCUGGUCUGAGAGGACGAUCAGCCACACUGGCACUGCGAC
rnacentral:rRNA from 1 species